rnacentral:sRNA from 1 species
UUUCACAUGAGCUCUGAUUUUCUUAACUCUCCAGAAGGACUUCAGAAGCCUCUGGAGUUUUGAGACACGGCCUCUCUCCCUUCUGCUUGGAGACACCUUCCUGGGGGUCUCCACUGCAUUCCCCGCUGGUAUUCCUCUGUGGAGCCUUGUGCCCUCAGGUCCCAGAAAUGGGCUGUGUGGGAGCUUCCAGUCAGCCUGGUAUCUCGGGACCUUCUCAGCCAGGAAAUGAGACUGCACAAAGCCCUGCGAGGCCCAGGUGUGUUAUUUCUCCUUCCCCGACAUUGCAUAAUCACUGCUGACACAGCAUUUGGGGAAGAUUUAACGUCUUGGGCCAGCAGCUGCCAUCUGGAACUGUCACCACAUAGCAGCCAGCGUGGGAGAGCCAAACAUGAGACACAAGCAUCCCCUUGAGCUCCACAGAUCUUGCGCCUUGCUCUCAUCAGGCAUUUCCCUGGAGAACAGCAGUCGGCAGCUCAUGGAAGUGAGCCCGGUGCACAUACUUUGCAUGGACUUUGCACAGGUUCCAUUUCCAUCGUGUGCAGACACCUGUAUCUUCGGGCUCCACGUGAGCAUCUGCCCUCUUCACUCUGAU